UACGAAGGGGGCUAGCGUUGUUCGGAAUUACUGGGCGUAAAGCGCACGUAGGCGGAUAUUUAAGUCAGGGGUGAAAUCCCAGAGCUCAACUCUGGAACUGCCUUUGAUACUGGGUAUCUUGAGUAUGGAAGAGGUAAGUGGAAUUCCGAGUGUAGAGGUGAAAUUCGUAGAUAUUCGGAGGAACACCAGUGGCGAAGGCGGCUUACUGGUCCAUUACUGACGCUGAGGUGCGAAAGCGUGGGGAGCGAACAGG
rnacentral:rRNA from 1 species